rnacentral:lncRNA from 10 species
UGGGAUUACAGGCACUCAGCCAGAAUACCUCCUUUUAUUUGUUUACUUAUUUAUUUAUGAGAUGGAGUUUCAUUCUUGUCGCCCAGGCUCGAAUGCAAUGGUACGAUCUUGGCUCACAACUUCUGCCUCUCGGUUCAAGGGAUUCUACUGACUCAGCCUCCCGAGUAGCUGGGAUUAUAGGCAUGCACCACCACGCACAGCUAAUUUUUGUAUUUUUAGUAGAGACGGGGUUUUGCCACGUUGGCCAGGCUGGUCUUGAACUCCUGAACUCAGGUGAUUCGCCUGCCUCAGCCUCCUAAAGUGCUGGGAUUACAGGCGUGAGCCAACCCGCCUGGCUCAGAAUGCUUCAUUUUAAAUAGUCAAUUCCCCAAAACUGUAAGUGAGCUAGACCAGAUGCUUCUGUAUCAGUGGUGCCAUCUAUAUUAAAAUGUAAAUAGUUCUAGUUUUUUUAAAUUUUUUUUCCUCCUGGUUUGUCAUUCCCCCAUUUUAUUUUUAAAAGGUUACACUUAAUGUAAACAUCCUUCACAGUCUGGGAAAACUUUUAUAUUUAAAGAGAAGCAAACAUUAUUUAUUCUAGCCAAAUAAUUUUAACUCCUUUCCCUUUACUUUUCUUGUCAACAUUUUUCUAAUUGUUAGAAUUUUCAUUUCUACUUUAUGAAAAAACUUUCAAUGAUAAAGAAGGAAAAUGUGUAUUCCAUAACUGCCUUUAUCUAUCAGGAAAGGUAGAAAACACUGAGUCAGAGCAUGCUUAUAGACUUUGCAGAAGUGAUCAGAAAGCACAAAUUCAUAAUAGUUUCAGUUCUCCUGUCUUUUCCCAAUCCAGUCUCUCUAUUCUGAAUUCAUUAUAAACAUCAAAAUACAUAGAGAAGUCAUUUCAAGGGGAUUAUUUAUUACUCAGUUUGACAUAAAAUAGUCUAUAUAAUCACUAGUAGAAAAUAUAGUGGUUAAUAUAGUGAUCUAUAUCUAGGGCAGUGCUCCCUUCGGCAGCACAUAUACUAAAAUUGGAACAAUACAUUGAUUAGCAUGGCCCCUGCGCAAUAAAAAAUAUAUAUAUCCAGAUACAGAUACAGAUACAUCUCCAAGGCGGCGAAAGGGUGAAAAUCCCUAAGUCUGACUUGUACAGUCUGCAUUUUUUGUUGCUUAAAUGAAAAAGGAAGGUUUCAGAACAAGGAUCACUGAGGAAAAAAUAAUAAUAAAAUAAAAUAAGACAAAUGAAAGUUUAUAGAAACAAAGACCUGUAUACAUUUAGCAAUAUGAAAAAAGCCACUCUUCAUGGCUAACCCACAAUGAAAAGCAAAAAAAGCAUCAUUAAAAGAAAACGACUGAGGAAAAAGAUUUUUUAAAUCUUAUUUCUUUUUUAAAACCAGAAAAAAAAAACCUAGCAGAAUAUCAACACUGCAGCACAGACUAACGUGUAUUCCUGAUGAACCAACAAGAAAACCUACCGCUGUUUCCUUCCUCG